AAACCCAUUCCAGAUAAUAAUGGGCACUACUGAUCAGGGUCCAGAAUUGUCACUGAGGCUAAAUUGAGACACAGGUUGUGCUUCCACCACCGUAAAUGCAUUGCAGUGGUAACAAUGAGAAAUACAAGAGAU